AGGGCAUUCAGCGCAAAUUACCCUCUGACUGAUAUUAAACUGACAGCAAAACUGAUAUUAAGUAUCAUGGGUUGCUACCAUAUUUACUAUAUUACAGCAUUUAAUUUGGAUUUUCGUUUAAUAAUAAUUAUCAAUUCAUUAGCAUUUGAAUGAUUGCAAUAUUUCAGUAAUUUUCAUCCAUCAAAAUCAGAUAUAGCCAAUAGCAAGCCAGCAAACAUGUUAGCCUAAUUCAGAAAAGUACAGCUAAAAGAGUUGACCAUGUUCAGAUUUGACCGACGGAGUUUUGAUCAAUCCCGAGGUUGGUGGAACAGUUGUAUGUUUGAAAGAGUGAUGAAAUUUUGACUAUGGUCUAAUUGACCAUGGCUAGGCUAUAUUUGAUCAAGGUUGGUGAAACGGGGCUUCAGAGUUAGUCGGACACUUGACAGAGAAGCAUGAAUUUCAGCCAUCAAUUGAUGACAUCAUGUUUGCUUCUGAGGAUGGUAAGUUAUUUGCUACCGUACUUUGUAAGUGAAAUAUUUCACUUACAUAAGCAGGUCCUGAUCCACUAAGGCCGGUUACUGCAUCCAAUAAAUAUUCUGGAACUUGUUCACAAAUUCCUACUGAUUCGAAGAGUUUCUUGGUGAUUGCCGCAUCUGAUUCGUUGGCUGAAGAUCCGCAAA